UCAAAAUCCCCUGGGAACCUGUGAAGAAGCAGAUUCCUGGGCACUGUUCUUCAGAAUCCACUCUGGGAAACGCUGGCUGGGAAAGCAAGGAAGGAAAGUACAACUACAACUCUGGACAUAAUAGAUCAAACAAACCGAAGAAGACUCUGGAAAGUGAAGAGAAGAGGCAGACAAGCUAGAGACCUCAGGACCUGAGGAGUGACUUGGUGGUUGCUGUCUUAUAAGAGUGGAUAGAUAUACUGAUUUAUAAGAGUGGACAGAUAAUUUCUUGAUCAAUUCUGAGAGCUGCAGUAUACAUCAAAGACGUUUAUCCUUCUAAAGGAAGGCCAGUCCAGAAGUGUCUGAUGAAGGAGCAGGUGAGAAGAAUGUCUAUGUUGGCCACAUUUUGUAUUUGGCAAAAAAAGUCAUUUACGUGAAUAGGACCACACAUGUGUCCCAGAAAUAAAAAUG